AUCAAAAAAUAUAUCUGCUCAACAAAUUUGUGGAACAAGUCUUUUCAUUCCAUGCAGCCAAAGAAACCACUGUACUCAAAAACAGAAUUCACAAAUAAAUGAUCACAGAUGGAUAUUGUGGUGGGGUUUUUUUUGUGGUUUUGUUUUGUUUGUUUGUUUGUUUUAAGAAAUAUACUCUAAGCAUAAGCCAAAAUUUUGGUCUUGAAGAGGUGAAUACAGAGUUUCAAGAUACAGUAGAAAAAACAGUCUUUUGAAAGUUCCACUUUCAAAAAAGAUUUUAACAGAUUAUUUUUAUAGAGUUGAUUUUAACAGCACAAAAAACCCUCUAUAUGAUAUGAAGGUAGCUUUGAUGUUAGCAUAUUUAUAAUAAUGUUUUAUUCAUGUAUUUCUUUUGUAGCUCAGUCACUAACAAUUGAAUAAGCUACAUACAACUUAAUUCUACUACUGCUAGUUGUGCAAUGAGAAGGAUGAUAUUGCUUUCUGAUUGCAGUAAAACAAAAUGAAAUACAUUACUUGUCUGUUCUACUACCAGUAACAAAUGCAGUGAGUGUGAGAUAUGACAUGUAUGGCUACUUUUCAACAGAGAUGUCAUACAUAUGGAACACUUCUUUUGUUAUAUAUAUACAAAAGAUUUCUGUAUUUUCCAAGACUGCAUCUACAUCUGUGGAGCCAAGCUGCUGAAGCAUGCAGCAAUGAAGAAGGAGCAUGCAAGUCCAAUAGACUACAAAGAUGUGUUGAGAUUAUGCGGCGAGAAAAUUAGAAGUGCCAAAGCCUAACUAGAAGUUCAUCUGACUACUGCUGUAAAACACAAUAAAAAUUUUCCUAUAAA